rnacentral:rRNA from 1 species
GAGUUUGAUCAUGGCUCAGGAUGAACGCUAGCUACAGGCUUAACACAUGCAAGUCGAGGGGCAUCAGGAAGGAAGCUUGCUUUCUUCGCUGGCGACCGGCGCACGGGUGAGUAACACGUAUCCAACCUGCCGAUGACUCGGGGAUAGCCUUUCGAAAGAAAGAUUAAUACCCGAUGGCAUAGUUCUUCCGCAUGGUAGGACUAUUAAAGAAUUUCGGUCAUCGAUGGGGAUGCGUUCCAUUAGCUUGUUGGCGGGGUAACGGCCCGCCAAGGCAUCGAUGGAUAGGGGUUCUGAGAGGAAGGUCCCCCACAUUGGAACUGAGACACGGUCCAAAACUCCUACGGGAGGCAGCAGUGAGGAAUAUUGGUCAAUGGGCGCUAGCCUGAACCAGCCAAGUAGCGUGAAGGAUGACUGCCCUAUGGGUUGUAAACUUCUUUAUAUGGGAAUAAAGUGCAGUAUGUAUACUGCUUUGCAUGUACCUUAUGAAUAAGGAUCGGCUAACUCCGUGCCAG